rnacentral:rRNA from 1 species
UACGUAGGGUGCGAGCGUUGUCCAGAAUUAUUGGGCGUAAAGAGCUCGUAGGCGGCUUGUCACGUCGGGUGUGAAAGCCCGGGGCUUAACCCCGGGUCUGCAUUCGAUACGGGCUAGCUAGAGUGUGGUAGGGGAGACUGGAAUUCCUGGUGUAGCGGUGAAAUGCGCAGAUAUCAGGAGGAACACCGGUGGCGAAGGCGGGUCUCUGGGCCGAUAUUGACGCUGAGGAGCGAAAGCGUGGGGAGCGAACAGG